GAUGAACGCUGGCGGCGUGCCUAAUACAUGCAAGUCGAACGAACAGACGAGGAGCUUGCUGCGCGGACGUUAGCGGAGGGCGGGUGUAUAACGCGUGGAUAACCUACCUGUAAUACGGGUAUAACUAGGGAAAACCGGAGCAAAUACCGGAGGAGCUCUUGAACCGCAGGGGGCGAUGGUAAAAUACGGCGUUUGUGUCUGGUAUAGCUGGAUCCGGGCCGCAUUAGCUAGUUGGUAAGGUAAUGGGUUACGAAGGCGACGAGGCGUAGCCGAACUGAGUGAGUGAUCGGCCACCCGGGAACGGGGCCACGGACAAGACUCCUGCGGGAGGCAGCAGUAGGGAAUGUUCCGCAAUGGGCGAAAGCCUUGCGGAGCAACGGCGCGUGAGAGAUGACGGUCUCCGGAGCGUAAAACUCUGUUAUUAGGGAAGAACAAAUGUGUAAGUAACUAUGCACGGCUUGACGGUACCUAAUAAGAAAGCAACGGCUAACUACGUG
rnacentral:rRNA from 1 species